CAGAAAAGACUACUGUGAUCUAAUAUAUCGCAAUACCGAUAUAUCGUCAUAUCGCCCAGCCGUACAGUGAAUGGAAAAACUGAUCACUUGGAGUUGUAAUUCACUUGUCCUGCACUAGUGAUGUGUCCACCCUGUAAGCCAACAGCAUCGCUACCAUCUUCUUCUGAAUUCCGCUUGACCUGUGGCUUGCCCGAAUCAUUAUCGUAACGCUGAACCCUUCUAGAGAGAAGAUUUAUGCUACUGGAUUUUGAGUGUUUUAUUUUCAAUACCCAUCAUGUCCGUUUGGUGUGACACUGUAGAAUGUGUUUGUGUUUACAGCAGCGUUUUUCCUGCUUGGGUUUUUGUCUCCGUGAACUCCACCUGACCUGGCGGGAUCUUUUCCCAACUGGUUUUGGCAAUUUCGGGUUUCUAGAAAGUCUUUUUUUUUUGCAUUGGGUUGCUUCAAAAUGGUCACUAUCGACAAUUUAUUUUUAUUGUUGCACUGCAGAUGAUGGGCUUGCUAAGUCGCUUAGCUUAUUUUUGUUGGUUAGUUUACACUUGAAAUGAACACUGGGUUUGGAUUCCCAUCUGCUUCGAUGUGCCUGUAGGCAAUGGUUCACAUUACUAUUUAAAGAAGAGUAAGUAUUUGAUUAUUUGCAUGGUAUUAAUAAGUGAUGCACUAGACAGUAUCAUCAGUGUACUUGGGUAUUAUGUUCACAUUAAUAUUUGCAGAGUAUUGUGCCAAUUCAGCAUAGACGUUGAUCAUGACGUGGAUCAAGGUGUCAAAAUAUCACAACGUUGUAUUAUUGUAUCCUGUCUGUAGGGUGAAUAAAAUUUGUUUUGUUUUUUUAAACACAAAAGAGCUGUGCCAAACUGAACAUUGCCUUAAUGAUAUAGAUGCUAGGCCUAAAUGAAGAGGAUUAUUUUUUGUCAUGACAGCAUUAUUCCUUUAUUUUGUUGUAUCUCUAAAAGUGCCAUCUCUUGCCUUCUUUCUGUAAAACUAAAUGCUGUCAUGAAAAACCGUGUGCACAUUACAAACGAUGCCUCACAAAUGUAGCAACAUACAGGUGUCAGGAAUGCGGUCUGUGUACAGUAUGUGCUCUAGUAUGAACAUAAUGAGAAACUUCCCGAGACUGUUCUGUGUUUUAUUAAAAUGUGUAGCUCUCCAUUAAA
ensembl:lncRNA